rnacentral:rRNA from 1 species
AGUGAACGCUGGCGGUAGGCCUAACACAUGCAAGUCGAACGGCAGCACAGUAAGAGCUUGCUCUUACGGGUGGCGAGUGGCGGACGGGUGAGGAAUACAUCGGAAUCUACUUUUUCGUGGGGGAUAACGUAGGGAAACUUACGCUAAUACCGCAUACGACCUACGGGUGAAAGCAGGGGAUCUUCGGACCUUGCGCGAUUGAAUGAGCCGAUGUCGGAUUAGCUAGUUGGCGGGGUAAAGGCCCACCAAGGCGACGAUCCGUAGCUGGUCUGAGAGGAUGAUCAGCCACACUGGAACUGAGACACGGGCCAGACUCCUACGGGAGGCAGCAGUGGGGAAUAUUGGACAAUGGGCGCAAGCCUGAUCCAGCCAUACCGCGUGGGUGAAGAAGGCCUUCGGGUUGUAAAGCCCUUUUGUUGGGAAAGAAAAGCAGCAGGUUAAUACCCCGCUGUUCUGACGGUACCCAAAGAAUAAGCAGCGGCUAACUUCGUG